UACGGAGGGGGCUAGCGUUGUUCGGGAUUACUGGGCGGAAAGCGCACGUCGGCGGAUUGUUAAGUCGGGGGUGAAAUCCCGAGGCUCAACCCCGGAAUGGCCUCCGAUACUGGCAAUCUUGAGGUCGGGAGAGGUGAGUGGAAUGGCGAGUGUAGAGGUGAAAUUCGUAGAUGUUCGCCGGAACACCAGUGGCGACGGCGGCUCACUGGCCCGAUACUGACGCUGAGGUGCGACAGCAUGGGGAUCAAACAGG
rnacentral:rRNA from 1 species